UUAAGUUCAGCGGGUAUCCCUACCUGAUCCGAGGUCAAUCGUCGUGGACGUGGAGGGUUGAUGGCCAACGACCUGCACCGGCACCAUAGCGAGGAGUAAAGUUACUACGCUCGGAGCCAGGCGGCUGCCGCCACUGAUUUUGAGGGCUGCCCCCGCGAGGGCACGCCCCAACACCAAGCAAGCGCUUGAGGGGUGAUAAU
rnacentral:misc_RNA from 1 species